rnacentral:rRNA from 1 species
GACGAACGCUGGCGGCGUGCCUAAUACAUGCAAGUAGAACGCAGUUGCGAACGGGGGAGUGACGCGUAGGUAACUGCCUCAUAGCGGGGGAUAACUUUUGGAAACGAGAGCUAAUACCGCAUACUGUGAGAUGGACCGGCGUUGGAUUAGCUAGUUGGUGAGGUAAAGGCUCACCAAGGCGACGAUACAGAGCCGCAGUGAGAGGGUGAACGGCCCACCUGGGACCGAGAACAGGCCCAGACGCCCACGGGUGGCAGCAGUAGGGAAUCUUUGGCAAUGGAGGGAAAGCCGACCAAGCAACGCCGCGUUAGAGAAGAAGGUUUUCGGAUCGUAAAGCUCUGUUGUUCGAGGAGCGGUAACUAACCAGAAAGGGACGGCUAACUACGUGCCAGCAGCCGCGGUAAUAC